AGCGGGUGAAAAGCCCGCUCGCCGGAAGACCAAGGGUUCCUGUCCAACGUUAAUCGGGGCAGGGUGAGUCGACCCCUAAGGCGAGGCCGAAAGGCGUAGUCGAUGGGAAACGGGUUAAUAUUCCCGUACUUGGUGUUACUGCGAAGGGGGGACGGAGAAGGCUAUGUUGGCCGGGCGACGGUUGUCCCGGUUUAAGCGUGUAGGUGUGUGUUCCAGGUAAAUCCGGUUCACUUUAACACUGAGGCGUGAUGACGAGGCACUACGGUGCUGAAGCAACAAAUGCCCUGCUUCCAGGAAAAGCCUCUAAGCAUCAGGUAACAUCAAAUCGUACCCCAAACCGACACAGGUGGUCAGGUAGAGAAUACCAAGGCGCUUGAGAGAACUCGGGUGAAGGAACUAGGCAAAAUGGUGCCGUAACUUCGGGAGAAGGCACGCUGACAUGUAGGUGAAGUGAUUUACUCAUGGAGCUGAAGUCAGUCGAAGAUACCAGCUGGCUGCAACUGUUUAUUAAAAACACAGCACUGUGCAAACACGAAAGUGGACGUAUAC
rnacentral:rRNA from 1 species